CACACACACACACACACAAAGGAUAUCCAAUGGCCCAAUGGUUAUAAUUGUUGGCAUGAAGUAGAUGGUGUUUUACACCUGUUCACCACCAAAUGGUAAAAAUGAGAAAAGCUAUAACAUUGCAAUUAAUACUCAACCAAAAGCUGGCCGAUAAUUUACAAAGUAAGUCUCUUUCUUAAUUCUUCUCUAACAUUCAGCAUUCCCUUGACGUCUUUGACUUUGACAAUGUUGGCCAUGGAUAAUCUAUCUGGCGUAAAGAACUGGCUAGCUUCGUCGUCAAUUACGUCACCAGUCAUGACAGCAUGCGCCAUCUUGAUGGCGUAUAAUGACGAUAUCUUCUGUGAGGUAAACGCUGGGAACAACUUGGCAUGCCAGAGAUUUGUCAUUGUGCAGUCAUUCGGCCACAAAUCCUAAAUGUGGAAAAAGAAUAUGAUGGUUUAACCGAACUACAGUUAACACGAAACAUUGAGAAUAUGCUGGUUAAAG